AUUGAACGCUGGCGGCAGGCCUAACACAUGCAAGUCGGACGGUAGCACAGAGAGCUUGCUCUCGGGUGACGAGUGGCGGACGGGUGAGUAAUGUCUGGGGAUCUGCCCGAUAGAGGGGGAUAACCACUGGAAACGGUGGCUAAUACCGCAUAACGUCGCAAGACCAAAGAGGGGGACCUUCGGGCCUCUCACUAUCGGAUGAACCCAGAUGGGAUUAGCUAGUAGGCGGGGUAACGGCCCACCUAGGCGACGAUCCCUAGCUGGUCUGAGAGGAUGACCAGCCACGCGGGAACUGAGAAACGGUCCAGACUCCUACGGGAGGCAGCAGUGGGGAAUAUUGCACAAUGGGCGAAAGCCUGAUGCAGCCAUGCCGCGUGUAUGAAGAAGGCCUUCGGGUUGUAAAGUACUUUCAGCGGGGAGGAAGGCGAUGUGGUUAAUAACCGCAUUGAUUGACGUUACCCGCAGAAGAAGCACCGGCUAACUCCGUGCCAGCCGCCGCGGUAA
rnacentral:rRNA from 1 species